rnacentral:lncRNA from 1 species
AUGGUUCUAGAUUUUUAUUAAACGGCUCAAACGGGGUCCAACAUGUCAGUUUUAUUCAUAGCUACACAUUGAUAUUCUUGAUUUUUCCACCAUUUAGAUAAAUAUGUCACCAACACUGUUGCUUUAUUUCAUCAUAUUAAUCUUUAGUGAUGUGCAUUUGGUACCGGGUACCGGUACCGAAUUUCCCGUACCGAAUUGGUACCCAUUUUUUGUCGUUUUCGGUACCGGUACCGGUUCGAUACGAUACGGGUAGUUUAUCCGAUUUUGCCUUCAAAUACCGGUACCGUAGCGUACCGUACUGCACAUUUUUGGAGCGAAUUUCGGUACCGGUAUUUUCGGUACCGGUACCUAAUUGAUCUUACGUAAAAUUGUUAGUAAGUUUUGGUGAAGAAAAUUUGCAAGAACUUCUGCACAUGAUUAUUGACUUCUGCACAUGAUUUUCUUUAGACAAACCAUACCAUGGAAGAAACUAUAAGCAAUUCAAUUCUAAUUGGCCAAAAGGGCAGCUCUGAUGGAAUGAUGGAUAUCGACACUCGCUAUAGCUUACGACAUAGAAACAAACUCUAUUGUGAGUACAACACCAGUGGCGUUUUUUCUUCCUUAGGUUGGUGACCAAGAUGAAAAGCUGGCAGAAGGUAUCAAGCUUUAUGCUAUACCAACCACCUCAACUACAAAGCGGUCAAUACUUUUAAAAUUUGAUUUUAAAAGGAAUAGUGUCUGUGCAUAGAAUUUGCAUCAGGGUGGAAGCUUAGGGUCUUUUUCCCUGGACAUAAGUAGGCUGUUGCAGCUUUGUGAUGAAGACGAUGAUGGUGUAACCAGCGGGUAAGCUGCCCCAAAACCCGACCCAGAUGCUCACAACAUUAGCCCAAAUUCUAUUGUGAACAACACGGUUAAUAACUUACCGAAGCAUUUGUAGGGAGUGUUACCAGAACUUUGGGUAUUCCAAAUACCAUCUUUUCUUAACUGGAAGUAAAGAUGGGGAUGUAAAGCUUUGGGAUGAUAAAAGGGCAAAAUUGGUAUCAUUGGCCAAAAAUACAUGAUAGACAACCUUCAUUCAACCGCUCAAGAGGAUUUAGAGUGGUUAGGGUAUACCAUUUUUACCCUUUUAGUUUAAUUUUUUGUUUAGUAGAUAAUAACAUGAGGUUUACACUUGAAUUUUAAAUUAAAGAUUGAAACACUGUGAUAGAUAUUUAGGUUGUUUCAAAUUGUUUUUUUUUUUCAUGUGGCGGUGAUGGUUC